rnacentral:rRNA from 1 species
UGAGUAAUGUCUGGGAAACUGCCUGAUGGAGGGAGAUAACUACUGGAAACGGUAGCUAAUACCGCAUAACGUCUUCGGACCAAAGUGGGGGACCUUCGGGCCUCAUGCCAUCAGAUGUGCCCAGAUGGGAUUAGCUAGUAGGUGGGGUAACGGCUCACCUAGGCGACGAUCCCUAGCUGGUCUGAGAGGAUGACCAGCCACACUGGAACUGAGACACGGUCCAGACUCCUACGGGAGGCAGCAGUGGAGAAUAUUGCACAAUGGGCGCAAGCCUGAUGCAGCCAUGCCGCGUGUAUGAAGAAGGCCUUCGGGUUGUAAAGUACUUUCAGCGAGGAGGAAGGCAUUAAGGUUAAUAACCUUAGUGAUUGACGUUACUCGCAGAAGAAGCACCGGCUAACUCCGUGCCAGCAGCCGCGGUAAUACGGAGGGUGCAAGCGUUAAUCGGAAUUACUGGGCGUAAAGCGCACGCAGGCGGUCUGUCAAGUCGGAUGUGAAAUCCCCGGG